rnacentral:rRNA from 1 species
AUUGAACGCUGGCGGCAUGCUUUACACAUGCAAGUCGAACGGUAACAGGCCGCAAGGUGCUGACGAGUGGCGAACGGGUGAGUAAUGCAUCGGAACGUGCCCAGUCGUGGGGGAUAACUACUCGAAAGAGUAGCUAAUACCUCAUACGAUCUAUGGAUGAAAGCGGGGGACCGUAAGGCCUCGCGCGCUUGGUGCGGCCGAUGUCAGAUUAGGUAGUUGGUGGGGUAAAGGCUCACCAAGCCAACGAUCUGUAGCUGGUCUGAGAGGACAACCAGCCACACUGGGACUGAGACACGGCCCAGACUCCUACGGGAGGCAGCAGUGGGGAAUUUUGGACAAUGGGCGCAAGCCUGAUCCAGCAAUGCCGCGUGCAGGAAGAAGGCCUUCGGGUUGUAAACUGCUUUUGUACGGAACGAAACGGCUCUGGUUAAUACCCGGGGCUAAUGACGGUACCGUAAGAAUAAGCACCGGCUAACUACGUG